UCAAGACAUCAGAAGAUUCGCAGACUGUGAAUUGACUGUGGAACAGAAGUUGAAAAUUUUAAACUUCAUGAAAAGAUUUGGAAAGAUAUCUUUAUGCUUUUCAGUAAGAAAUUAUUUCUUUAUCACAAAAAAGUUUCCAAUAAAGAUGGCCAGCGCACUGAAUUCUGUAUUUUCAAGCCUUAUGAACAUUCGCAAGUACAAGACGUCGUAAUUCAAAUAGAUAAAAUUCAAGUAAAUUCAUAUAUUAAUGACUUUAAGUAUGAAAUGUAAUUUGUUAUCUUAGUUUAUGCUUAGCAUAUGCUAAAAUGUGGAGUCUUAAAUGAAAAAGCGACAAACGAGAUCAUUUUAACGUUACGUGGAGCGCGCUGCCAUGAGGACUUUCCAUGGAAAACUGGUUUCUAUUCAGUGUUAGACAUGUGAAUCCGAAAAACUCCAUCCUAUUGAUGAGGAUCAAUAAGCAUUGGUAUCAAGUUUCAAUAUUUAGUGAUGUUCUGUACUUGGAUACGUUACGUGAAU